GAGAAUGAGGUCCACUAAUUACCAGCUCUGUGAUCCUUGGCAAGUUGCUUAUCCUCACAAGCUAAAUGUUUAAUAAAUCAGUACAGAAGGCAUCAGGAGACACCAAAUAUGGUCAGGACACCGCACAGCAAUGAUUGGGAUGCAAGUCAUCUACAGGCUCACCACCAUUUGUCCUUCCUGGUAGAGAAUGGACAAGAGACUUUUAUAAAUUUAUGUCCUGUUUUUUAGACUAUAGUGGGAAGGCAGAGAAUUUCUCUUGCAUGUGACUCUUUUCAGUUGCCUUCAAAUCAAAAUAAUACUUAUUUUGAGGUGGCAUAUUCUGGUCUCUUACAUUGUAUUCAAACGGGUUGCUGCUACUUCUCUAUUGUUAUUAAUCUUUUUAUCAUCUUCUUAUUCCUCUUAGCACAGUCGGGGCAUAACAUGUUAUCUUCUAUGCCUGGGGAUGGGAAAUUGCAGGCAGGUAACAAGAAGAGAGAAUUCAUCCUCCUGUGAGUGGUAGGCACCCAGGACUGACCUGCAUGAAACUGCAGGCC
rnacentral:lncRNA from 1 species